AGUGUUACCCCACCACUUUUUUUCUUUACAUUUUUUUUUUCCUUCUUUAUUUUCUCUCCUACCAAACUACCAUUCUUUUUAUCUUCUCUGCAAUUUUCUCUCCAAAUGAUUCGUUCCUUCCGCUUUUCAUCUUUAACAAACAAAAACUAAAAGCCCGCUAAUUAAUUUCUGGGAACUUUUAUUUUCCUUUUAUUUUCGCAGGUCUAACUUUACAAGAGUUCAACCCUUUCCAUCUCUCCCACCUCAUCCCGUUAACUCAACUGAGCAUCUCCUGAAUCUGCUACAAAGAACUGCUCAUCUUUUCUUCAAUUUCUUUCGAUCCCCUACCUAUCCAUAAACCUUUCCGGGUCGCCGUUUUGGGUUUCAAUUUCUUUCUUUCAAUUUCUCUCUGCCAUUUUCCUUGGGAAUGCAAGCUCGUUAAAAAGCCAGCUCGACUUCUGCACGACUGUGGAUCGAUACACCAUCGAGUUUCUCAACAGGGAAGAUCCGACGACUCUCUUCCUCCAUCGUCAUCGCUCAACUCAGUCCAUCUCUGCUUCUCGGUCCAGUGAGAAAAUGUUGGUAUGGGGAAAAAUUGCUCCACUGAUUAUUAGAUUGAGGUUGGAAAAUGAGCUCAACAAUACACCUUCAGCUAUCAAUAUAAUUGGCUCUUCUAUUCAGGGGAGGAUAUCAGUGUAUGUGUCUGUUUGGCAAUCUUGAUAUCAUUAUUUGAUGAUGAAGGAACAUUUGAUGGUGGGAAGUUUUUUAGCCAGAAUUGCAUUACCAAAUUGGAAAUGAGGAAAAUAUUAGAUUUGCAAAUUUGCAGUAAAUGCCCAGCCAUCAAGAGGAAUCUCCAAUUGUGGAUCGAAUUGGAAAGUUAAUUAACUUGAUUAUUAAUUGCAAGAGAUAAUUCGUCCUAACUAUGCGAUACUUACUAUACGAGAAGUAGUUGGUUCAACAGUUGCAUGACUUUCUCAAAAGAUUCAACCAGUGAAGUGCAAAAGAAAAUCUAAUUUGGAAGGCUUUGGUGUGCUGAUAUUUAGAAGAUCAUGAAUUCCCACCUUUACUUUUGAAUAUAUAAUUGUUUAAGACUAUUUUGUUGACCAUUGUGAGAAUGUUUUGUUUAUGUUAAUUAGACAGUGUUGAAUAUCUUAAGACUUUUGGAUUGUUUUUUAGAUAAUCUUGAAUGUAUUUUGACACAAUUAUUUAGUUAUAUGUGAUAUGAACCAUAUAAUUGGUACUCAAAAA